AGUGGACAUAGGCCAGCUGAUUUAAUAAUUUAAGAAAGAAUUGUUAUCCUGAGUAAGGAGCAUAGAGACAAAUAUAAAAUGAACGCACUCUACCUGAUUUAAUUAUAAUCUUCUAGUGAAGAUCUUGCCUUUAUCUCUGUGAAUCAGCAGAGAAGAGAUCAAUAAAGACUAGAUGAGAUUGGAUUUGGUCAUUUCUCCAAGGUGAAGAGCAUGACGAUUUCUUCUGUGAAUGAAGACCAUGGCUGAUUUAAUCCGUCUCUUCUGAUGAAGAUCUUGGCUGUUACCUUUACGGAAUGGAUGCGCAAUGAUUCAAUUAUUCUCCAGCGAGGAAGAUCAUGGUUGUUGUCUGUUUGAGUAAUGAGUGUAGAAACCUAUAAUGAACAGCCCCAUCUGAUUUAAGCACUGUGCUAUGACCAUGAACUGUAUGGUUACCUCUAUGUGUCACAGGAAGACUCUUAAUGGAUGCACUGAGCUGACUUAAGCAUUCUUCUGUGAUCAAGAUUAAAUGUCCUUCUUAGGAAAGAGGCCAAUAAUGGAUGCACUUGAGCUGACCUAAGCAUUCAUGGUCAUGAGAUUCAUGGUUGCUACUGUUGGUUAGGAGCAUAGAGAUCAGUAAUGGACACAUCUGGGCUGGCAGAACAUCUGGCCUUGAUCUGGAGCCCCAUGUCUGUCGCUCUGUAGAGGUGCACAUGAGCCAAUAAUGGAUGCAGUGAGCUGAUCAUUUCUCUGUGAUCAAGGCUAUGUUGCCUCUGUGUUAGGCCAAUACGGGAUGCACUGGCGCUGAUUUAAGAAUUCUCUCAUAGUCAAAAGACAUAUGGUUGCCUCUGUGUAGGUUCCUGGAGACCAAUUGAGUUGAUGAAUUCAUCUAUCAAUAAAUGAAGACAUGAAUGAAGAAAAAGAGCUCCAAGUCUGGACCAAAGAUGAAGUUUGGUGAUGUAUGAAUCAUGAACAAUAAAUACCUGUGUCUGGAACUUUGAGGUCCAACAUGAAAACUAGUUUGCUCCCUAUGAUGUAACUGAUGUAUAUAUAUAAGAAAUAGCAAAGAUCUGAUUGUGUUUCAUAGCUAUUGAUUAUAUCUUCAUAAGUUGGUUAGUGUGCAAAUAACCAAAGAAAUGUAUGAAUACAUGAAGAAAAUGGAACCAAGUAUAGACUAAGUAUGUCUCCUAUAAAGUUGCUCUGAUUUAGAAACAAAAUUUUGGAUUUUACUACUUUUAUUAAGAUCGGCUAGGCAUUUCUCUUCUAGAUUUCUGAAAAUGAAAAUAUUACUCAUUUUCUUGAAAAAGAAUAGAUGGUUGGAAAAAUUAAUUCAUUUGUUCCUGAAUUAUAAACUCAUUUAUACUAAUAAUGAAUGAGUUAAUAGAUAAAAAGGUCAAGAACUGACCACUCAUGAGAAUGUGUUAUAAAGCCAGGAAUCAGAAGUAGCUGAUUCUGUAAGUCGAAGCUAACUUGCAGAGAAUACCAAGACGAUUAUAUGUGUGAGUGGAGGCACUGAGGCCAAUAUGUCCCAUAGUCAGAUGUUUUUCUUAAUGCAGGUGAUGGAUUCAAGAAUGUUCACUAUUUGAUGUAAAAUUAAUAACUGAAAUAAUUCAAUAAAUAAAAGGAGAGUGAAUCUAA
rnacentral:lncRNA from 1 species